rnacentral:sRNA from 1 species
CUCUUGUCUUUACAGAACUGCCUGGAAAUCUUGUGUAGGCACAGAGGGCUUGAGCCAGAAAGAAGAGACAAGUGCAAUCGGACUGUGCAUGAUGUUGCCACUGAUGACUGCAAGCAUUUGCUGGAGAAUCUGAAUGCUCUUAAAAUACCCUUAAGGAUUUCAGUGGGUGAGAUUGAACCAAGCAACUAUGGUUCUGAUGACUUGGAAUGUGAAAACACAAUAUGUGCUUUAAAUAUCCGCAAACAGACAUCAUGGGAUGAUUUUUCAAAAGCAGUGAGUCAAGCUCUGACAAAUCAUUUCCAGGCAAUCUCUUCUGAUGGAUGGUGGAGUCUGGAAGACGUGACUUGCAAUAACACCACUGAUUCCAACAUCGGCCUCAGUGCAAGAAGCAUACGAUCCAUCACGCUAGGUAUCAGCAGUCCUAUGACGAAGAGAAAGUGAAAUUUCUGGGUUUAUUUAUGUUUGUGGGUUUCAUAACCUGAUUCUUAGUUCAUUGAUUAAGCACAUUCAAAGCUUACUUGUGGCAGCUGCCAGUGCUGAAAAACUUGAGUAUUCACAAUGUAGCCAUUAUGUAAU